CAGCGGGCCUAGCAUGACCGCCAUAGAAACAGCUUUUGUCUACCGGAGAAUCGACAAAAUGACAGAUUGAAGAAAGAUUUCUAUCGACCCGAGCAUGGCGAUGUUUGACAUCGAGAAAAGAAAUGUUUCUUUUCUUCGUCGACAUGUGUCUAUCGCGUCGAGCAUGACGACUAUAUUUUCUCUACUUUUGACAUUUGGGAGUAGAUAUAACUUUCUAUAUGAAAUGUCAAAUACUCUACAUCUCAUCGGACCUAGACAAGAGUAGACAAGAAUAUUAUUAUAAUUUUAAGAUCUCAAAAAGCAUUUACAAAGUAUGUCGGGGUCCUACCGUCGUCAUGUGGUCGGUUUUUAUGCUGAGAAGAAUCAGUGUAAAGCUCAAAGAACGAGCUAUACGAGUGUUAAGCCUCUCGACAUUGAAAACGUAAAUGUGCAGAGAUGGUGCAGUAUUUGUGUGGAAUCUGUCUCCUAGGAUAUCUUAGGGUCUGCCUGUUCAUAUCAAUGUUCUUUGUUCGGGUCCUGCUUAGGUCAUUAACAACAUUACUAACCACUGUUAGCAAAUUUUUUAAGCAAUUUGUUUUUGCAGUGAAUACAAGGGGAUUCUAGUCAUGCGUUAGGGUCUUGACUCAUGACAUCAAUAAGAAUGCUGAUAAUGUGUCACUAUCAGGUGCCUAUACUACAACUCUUCCCGAAGAAAGGCAGAAAGAGAGACACACUAAUGACCUUAGCGGUAGCUUACUACAAGCUGCAACUCACAGAAGAGCAACUAUUAUGAAUAUCUCUGUAUAUCAACAGUUCUUCAAACCAUACAGACAGAAUUGAGCUGCUGGGGAGUUUGUUCCACCGCUUCUGCUGCUGAUUUUCAGCCUAUUUUGAAUAAAUGACUUUAUCUGUAGCCUUAAUUUUAUGUAAAUAAACCUUUACCUCUGUGUAAAUGAUUGUCUCAUUUUAUUUUUUAUCUUAAGAGUUGUUGCUUAUAUCACACAAGCAACAAAUAGGUACUAUAAUUAUUAUUGCCAUAAUUAUACUUUGAAAACAAAGCAUGAGAGUUUUGCUAGAAUGAAACCAACAAGUCUGGAGAACUAUUACUAGUAAAUGAAUAUUAUUUAACCUUUUGAACGCCAAUGUCGGCUAUAGCCGACAUGAGCAAGCGUGCCCUGUGCGCCAACGACGGCUAUACUCGACAAAAAACAGGUCGCAGAAAAAUACAAAAUAAACCUAUUAAAUCAUUACUUUUAUGUAUUUUUUAGUAGAUAUUUAAUUAAGAUUUUCGGGCUUGGCGUACAGGGCAUAGGAAUACCGAUAUGGCGUGGCGGUGAAAAGGUUAAA